rnacentral:rRNA from 1 species
AUUGAACGCUGGCGGCAGGCCUAACACAUGCAAGUCGAACGGUAACAGGAAACAGCUUGCUGUUUCGCUGACGAGUGGCGGACGGGUGGGUAAUGUCUGGGAAACUGCCUGAUGGAGGGGGAUAACUACUGGAAACGGUAGCUAAUACCGCAUAACGUCGCAAGACCAAAGAGGGGGACCCUCGGGCCUCUUGCCAUCGGAUGUGCCCAGAUGGGAUUAGCUUGUUGGUGGGGUAACGGCUCACCAAGGCGACGAUCCCUAGCUGGUCUGAGAGGAUGACCAGCCACACUGGAACUGAGACACGGUCCAGACUCCUACGGGAGGCAGCAGUGGGGAAUAUUGCACAAUGGGCGCAAGCCUGAUGCAGCCAUGCCGCGUGUAUGAAGAAGGCCUUCGGGUUGUAAAGUACUUUCAGCGGGGAGGAAGGGAGUAAAGUUAAUACCUUUGCUCAUUGACGUUACCCGCAGAAGAAGCACCGGCUAACUCCGU